rnacentral:lncRNA from 1 species
GACUCGGAGUCGAGUCGGCAACUCAUGAACAGAUUCACUGCUUCUAUUUUGACUUUUACCCAAAAAAUGAACCAAAAAGGCCAAACAAAACAUUGAACAGAAACAAAAGGCUACACAAAGCCUGCAACAACUCAAUUAUUGUCAUACAAAUACAAAGCCUUGCACUAGCAAGAGCCGUCCUUCCUCUCAUGCUUUCUUUUUUUUUUUCAGCCACAAAUAAUCAAUUACUUGGAGAAGGUGUAGAAGCAGAGCAUAGAAUCAUUCAUUAUUUGGAGAAACACACCCGAAGACAGAAUCAUUAUUUAGAGAAACAUACCAUCAAUUUUCAUUGGUUUGCAGAGAGGGAACAUCUUCAAUUUCUUCACACUUCAUCGGUUUACAGAGAGGGAGGUUUGCAAAGAGGGAACAUCGAUUUUGCAGAGAGGGAAGAGAAAAAAGAGCCUAAGGGAAAGUGAAGACAAAGAACGAAAGGAGGUUUGCAGAAAGGGAACAUCUUCAAUUUCUUCAUCGGUUUACAGAGAGAAACAUCGAUUUGCAGAGAGGGAAGGAGGAAAAAAAAAAAGAAAGGGAAAGUGAAAAGAAAGAA